UUGAUUCUUAUAAUAAGUUAUCCGAGGCUUUGAAUAAAUCAAAAACUCGGGGGCACUAAAUUUCAAGAUCGAGUGUGAAGAAAUCAAAAUAGUUAUACUAUAGGCUCAAUCCUGAAGAUGGCAGAGUGCUCUUACGAGAUCUGAAAAGGGGGACAUGAUUGCAGAGAUGAUUCUUUUUGCGCAAAGCACAUCGGCUUGAGAUCUAUGAAGAUGUUCACAAGAGAAAAGAAUUUUGG
rnacentral:lncRNA from 1 species